rnacentral:rRNA from 1 species
AUUGAACGCUGGCGGCAUGCUUUACACAUGCAAGUCGAACGGUAACAGGCCGCAAGGUGCUGACGAGUGGCGAACGGGUGAGUAAUGCAUCGGAACGUGCCCAGUCGUGGGGGAUAACUACUCGAAAGAGUAGCUAAUACCGCAUACGAUCUAUGGAUGAAAGCGGGGGACCGUAAGGCCUCGCGCGAUUGGAGCGGCCGAUGUCAGAUUAGGUAGUUGGUGGGGUAAAGGCUCACCAAGCCAACGAUCUGUAGCUGGUCUGAGAGGACGACCAGCCACACUGGGACUGAGACACGGCCCAGACUCCUACGGGAGGCAGCAGUGGGGAAUUUUGGACAAAGGGCGCAAGCCUGAUCCAGCAAUGCCACGUGCAGGAAGAAGGCCUUCGGGUUGUAAACUGCUUUUGUACGGAACGAAACGGCUCUGGUUAAUACCCGGGGCUAAUGACGGUACCGUAAGAAUAAGCACCGGCUAACUACGUG